AGAGUUUGAUCAUGGCUCAGGAUAAACGCUGGCGGCGCACAUAAGACAUGCAAGUCGAACGGAAGUCGUUGUAAUGAAAUGGAAAUGGACAGAGAACUUGUUCGAAGAAAGUUGAAGUAGACUUACAACAAUGGCUUUAGUGGCGGACUGGUGAGUAACGCGUAAGGAACCUGCCUUUUAGAGGGGAAUAACAAUGAGAAAUCAUUGCUAAUACCGCAUAUGCCGAGAGAAUCACAUGGUACAAUCGGGAAAGGAGCAAUUCGCUAAAAGAUGGCCUUGCGUCUGAUUAGAUAGUUGGUGGGGUAACGGCCUACCAAGUCGACGAUCAGUAGCCGGACUGAGAGGUUGAACGGCCACAUUGGGACUGAGAUACGGCCCAGACUCCUACGGGAGGCAGCAGUCGGGAAUAUUGCGCAAUGGAGGAAACUCUGACGCAGUGACGCCGCGUAUAGGAAGAAGGUUUUCGGAUUGUAAACUAUUGUCGUUAGGGGAAGAGAAAGGACAGUACCUAAGGAGGAAGCUCCGGCUAACUACGUGCCAGCAGCCGCGGUAAUACGUAGGGAGCGAGCGUUAUCCGGAAUU
rnacentral:rRNA from 1 species